rfam:Mycobacterium obuense strain TC1 Mobu_contig000065, whole genome shotgun sequence.
CUUGAUCGAGCCGAGCCACACCGGCGAGUCGACAGGGCGGCCCUGCCCGUAGGUGGCCAGCAGGGCCUGCGCCUC